rnacentral:rRNA from 1 species
UGCCAGCAGCCGCGGUAAUACGGAGGGGGCUAGCGUUGUUCGGAAUUACUGGGCGUAAAGCGCGCGUAGGCGGUUUAUCAAGUCAGACGUGAAAUCCCCGGGCUCAACCCGGGAACUGCGUUUGAUACUGGUUGACUGGAGGCCGGGAGAGGGUAGUGGAAUUCCCAGUGUAGAGGUGAAAUUCGUAGAUAUUGGGAAGAACACCGGUGGCGAAGGCGGCUACCUGGACCGGACCUGACGCUGAGGUACGAAAGCUAGGGUAGCGAACGGGAUUAGAUA